rnacentral:rRNA from 1 species
GCUUACCAUGCAGUCGAGCGGUAACAUGACUAGUAGCAAUACUAGUUGAUGACGAGCGGCGGACGGGUGAGUAACACGUAGGAACUUGCCCAAUAGAGGGGGACAACCAAGGGAAACUUUGGCUAAUACCGCAUAUUCUCGAGAGAGGAAAGCUGCCAGCAAUGGUGGCGCUAUUGGAGAGGCCUGCGUCUGAUUAGCUAGUUGGUAAGGUAAAAGCUUACCAAGGCGAUGAUCAGUAACUGGUUUGAGAGGACGGCCAGUCACACUGGGACUGAGACACGGCCCAGACUCCUACGGGAGGCAGCAGUGGGGAAUCUUGGACAAUGGGGGCAACCCUGAUCCAGCGAUGCCGCGUGAGUGAAGAAGGCCUUCGGGUCGUAAAGCUCUUUAGGCUGGGAGGAAGUCUACUCGUUUAAGAGAUAGGUAGUUUGACUGUACCGGCAGAAUAAGCACCGGCAAACUCUGUGCCAGCAGCCGCGGUAAUACAGAGGGUGCGAGCGUUAAUCGGAUUUACUGGGCGUAAAGGGUGCGUAGGUGGUUAUGCGAGUGUGAUGUGAAAGCCCCGGGCUUAACCUGGGAAGUGCAUCACAAACGGCAUAACUGGAGUAGAUAAGAGGGUGGUGGAAUUUCCCGGUGUAGCGGUGAAAUGC